GCAUGUGGCUUAAUUUGACUCAACGCGGGAAAUCUUACCGGGUCCGGACACACUGAGGAUUGACAGACAAAUAUAGAAAUUUUUCUAUAUAUAAAGAUGCUAGUUCUUUCAUGAUUAUGUGAUAGGUGGUGCAUGGCCGUUCUUAGUUCGUGGAGUGAUCUGUCUGCUUAAUUGCGUUUCAAUUUUUAUUAUGUAUACGUAUGACCCACGUUUACGCGUGCGAGUCUAGUAUGCUAUCAUUUGAAAGCAACGAACGUGACCGUAUCCUUUUAUUAUAUACGCACGCGUAUAUUUAUUCAUUAAAGGGACCGCUGUUUCUUUUUUUAAACCAGAGGAAGGUUACGGCAAUAACAGGUCUGUGAUGCCCUU
rnacentral:rRNA from 1 species